rnacentral:rRNA from 1 species
CAAUAGCGUAUAUUAAAGUUGUUGCAGUUAAAAAGCUCGUAGUUGGAUGUCUGGCUCUGUGUUGCGGUCCACCGCAAGGUGAGCACUGCGAUGUGGGGUCUUCCUCUUGAAUGCUGCGUGUGCUCUUAGUUGAGUGUGCGUGGGGUUUGGGAUCUUUACUUUGAAAAAUUAGAGUGUUCAAAGCAGGCUUAUGCCUUGGAUAUGUUAGCAUGGAAUAAUAAGAUAAGACUUUGGCGGUCUAUUUUGUUGGUUUGCACGCCAUUGUAAUGAUUGAUAGGGACAGUUGGGGGCAUUCGUAUUUCAUUGUCAGAGGUGAAAUUCUUGGAUUUAUGAAAGACGAACUUCUGCGAAAGCAUUUGCCAAGGAUGUUUUCAUUAAUCAAGAACGAAAGUUGGAGGCUCAAAGACGAUUAGAUACCAU